GAUUAGUUUUCUUCCUCACAUUGAAACGCCAAGUUAUAUAAGAAUAAUUUGAUGCCACACUACUAUCUAUGCUCACUUCUUUGCAAGUCCUGUACACAAGGUCUGGGGUCAUAUCUUGAACCACCGUCGCUCCAGGAGCAUGAUUAAGCUUACCAGAAUAAAAAGCACAGUUUCUAGCAGAAGACCCUGGAAGUAGGUAAGGAUCAUCCCCCACCCAGNNNNNNNNNNNUCAUUUGAUAUAUUAGUAUUCUGUCCAACAUCGAUCCUAUAGAGUGUCUGGAAAGCAUGGG
rnacentral:misc_RNA from 1 species